AGCUUUGUGCAGUGGCAAUACCAUAGCCAAUGAGGUUAACCAGAGGUGUGAUCAUUGCUAAUUGAAAACUUUUCCCAAUACUCCUCUGUGACGACUUGAAAUAUAGUCAGCACUGGCAAUUUUUGGUAAUCUCCAUGGAGA